GCCCUUCUUACAGGGCCUGUCUCCCGCUGCGUGCACCAAGUGCUUUGAAAGUUUUUCGCGGAUUAAAACGAAUAAAAACCUCGUCGAAAGGCAAAGAAGGCAGGGUUGAAAAGUACUCAGCUCGACACCGGAGAAAAAAGAAACCCCCAUAGGAACUCCGGUUGUUCGGGUGUGUCCUAACAGCCUCACUCUGGACCUCUUGGACCUGGUGAGUCCGUGUCCCCAGUCCCUGCGGGGACAGCUCAGGAAGAGAGCGGGUUCCAGGACAGCCCAAGCAUCCGAAUCAAGUUAUCUACACCUUCGAGACUGAGCAAUAGAUGAACGAAUCGAGUCUAUUUGGGAAAUACAAGACCAUUUUUGAGUCACUUGUUGAAUUCAGCGGGUCUUCGUAACUCCAGAAAGAUCCUCCAUCUGGAGACUCUGCAGCUACAUGAGUGAGUAUCUGCGCAAGAUCCUCUGGGCUCAUGGAGGACUUUGCUCUUGUGUCAUUCAAACAUGUAUACUGAGAUGGAUUAUUAGUACAAUGCCCAAAUAGAGAGGAUUCUCCAUUAUUCUCAAAAGAAUCUUUUGGGGCAAGGAAAUGAAGCAGUUUGCACAGAGACCUUAGUGAAGUGCCAGAAGCAGAUGCACCUUACUACAGAAUCCCCCUACUUAUGAUCAACAUGCCAGUCCAGGAAAUGGGCUUCAAAGGCAAGUCUUUCAGCUCGCCAGCCUUGCUCAUACAUCACUACUGAUCUUAAGUGACAGGAUGAUGGAAGCUUUCUUAUUUCCACAUUAAGACACGGAGGUCAUGCUGCAACAGUAAUCCUUCAAUGAACUUUGUUAACAAAGUAGACUCCCAGAGAUCAAGGGUAAUGUAUUUAGCAACUGGGGUUGUGAGCCCUGAUGGCUAUUGCCUGUGAUGAACAAAUGCUCACUGCCACCACAGCCUGUCUGUCAUCAGCCUGUGCUGGGUUAGUCUGUGAAAAGUUAAGAAAGCUUGGCAAGUGAGUGGUUUGACAGAACAUUCUGUACCUUUUCCAAACUUUUCAGUGGGGCAGUUCUGACAAACACAAAUUAUGUCUUCAUGUAUCCCUUCAGGUAUGAAGUGACUGUGUGUGACUCCUCAAAACAAAGGGAUUGUGGAGACCCCACCGUCAGCUGUGUGUGUACUUUAAACUCCUCCAACAGAAGGGGCAGGAUGAACUGACCCAGUCACUCCCUAUGCUGGCCUACGAUGUUCUUCCACAUCCCCUGUACACAGUCCCGUGCAUCACUUUCUUGAAGAUCAAGUGUGUGACUGCUUCCUUCCACAAGUCCAAUCCCAAGUGAACAUCCUUUCUUGUUUAUUCCCCAUAAUAGCAACUUGUUGCUUCUAUUUUCUGUAUUUGUUUAAUUUGCUUUGCUAGCAUCUUCCCAAGGAAACAAGUUUCUUGAGGACAGGGGCCAUUUAUGUUGCAUUUGUAUUCAUACAAUCCACAACCUCCCUAAUGAGGAACAAGGUACAGUAAGUGCUCAACAAAGGCACAAAGACACCAAACCCAGCUGGACCAAGGCUGUGAAGAGCUCCCACCACCACCCACUGGCCCCAAAUGCUUUGUGUUUGUCAGUACGAACUUGUCUGCACAUCAGGCAGGUCUAAUGUCCAGAAGGGGUGUGGGAGGGUAAGAAGAGAAUCAGCAUUUUGAGUGCAGAUUCCUCCCAUCCACAUGAAACCACCCCCUUCUCAUCAGAUAGCACCUUCCCUUGCCUCGUGAUGCAAACUGCUUCUCUAACUACUGCAGAGUACAUCUGAGUGUCGUCUGCUGUCAGCCAGUUCCUUCCUGGCCCUUAGCAAUAAAUAGAAACUCAGUCCAGUGAUCCAUCCAUUUCUCCUUCUGCUCUGUCAUUCCACAUGUUACCACAGUUGCCUUGGAGGGGACAAGUCAAUUGGAAAAAAGCAAGGUACUGUGUGGUAUGGGAACUGCCACGUUCUUUUUGUGGGAUUAGUUGAACACAAGCAAUGCCAGUAGAGACUGAACUGUUCUUGCUAAAGAAGAGAACUGUUCUUGGUAAAGAGAAGAGAGUUCUCGUGCAUACCACAUACAAAGGUAAGCAGCUCAUUUGGAGAACAGCAGUGGGAUGGAAGUUCCACCAGCAGCCUCUGGUAGCAAGCUGUGAAGGCACAGCCUACAUUAUAUCUUAGCUGAAAACAACCUGGGCAAGCUGAUUCUAGGGAGUCAUUGAAAUGGGUUUGCCACUGAAGGCUGAGCUAGGCAGUGAUUCACGGCCGUUCGUUGGAAAGCCUGCCCUGAGCCACUAUGGCGGGCGGCCCUGCUCUUCUCUCUAUGGAACCUCUGUGGUUUCAUGCUUUUCCUUCGUGGUUUCCAUGUAACUGAAAACACCCAGUGUUUUAUUGAUGAACAGCUAUUUUUACACUCACAAAAAGCUUUUCAAGUGUGAAAUCUUGUACAUUUUUCAAGACAUUCAUCGCUCACAUCUGGAAUUAGGCUAAACGCACCAAGUCUCGGCAAUGAGCAGCCUCGGGGAAUUUGCCUGGGAGACACAAUCAGUUUUAGCAUUAGCAAGUAUCACAAGAGUCAAAAACAAAUAUAAAACCCCAUUGACUGAAGAGAGUUGUGAUUUGAAGUGGUAUUAAAAAGCAAAGAUACAAUAACAGAAUGAGAAUUAUGCAGCAACUCAAUUGGAAAACACAGAAAUUGUGUGUGCGUGCACAUGUGAAACAGGUGUAAGAACCUGUGGCAUGUAUUAGAAGCCCACUCUGCAGGGGUUCCAGAGGGUUCUCUCUAGAACAGAGACUGGUGAACUAUGGCCGUG
rnacentral:lncRNA from 1 species